ensembl:lncRNA
AUUUGGAAGUUAUUUAUCAAUUCACUCUGUGGUAAUUUUGAAGAACAGUUAACUUAUUAUAAGAAAGCAGGAAACUUUUUUCCCCAAAGAAAUAAAAAUUAGUUAGCUUAUAAGGAGAACCUAUAACUAGAGCUAUGGAAAAUGAUUUACUGUAGGAGGAAUAUGUAUUGAUCCCCAAUACAGCGAUGAAAGCCGUGGUCCCCUCUGGCGUCUAUCAGUCUAUUGGUGGGGACUUUACUGUCUGCUUUGCCCCACUAUUCGGAGACCAGUGAUAGCUUUCACUGGUUGGCAGGAAUCGGGAGAGGGAAGUCAUGCCUGACAAGGCUCAACGAAUGUUUACUGUAAAGUGCCAGAUAUUUUAGGUUCUGCGAGUCUUAUGGUCUCCAUCACAGCUCCUUCCAUCUGCCCUUGGAGCACGAAAGCAGCCACAGACAAUAUGUAAAUGAAUGGGUACUGCUGUGUUCCAAUAAAACUUUAUUUAUGGUCACUAGAUUUGAAUUUUAUGUAAUUUUCAUAUGUCACAAAAUCUUCUUCUUUUGAUAUAUUUUCAGCCAUUUAGAAAUGUAAGAGCCAUCCUUACCUUGCGGGCUGUACCAAAACAGGAUGCAGGUUUGAGGUCCCUUCUUCCCGCCCUUCAUGAGUACUUGGGUUCAAGAGUUGUCACCACAGAUCAACAAUGGAAGGAUGGAUUGUUUAGUCGGUGAUGGGAAAACAGGCAGUGAAAGAAAGAAUGGAAAAAAAAUUGGCUCUCUCUCUAACACCACAUAUCAAGGAGAUUUUCAAAGGAUUAGAAACCUAAAUACAAAAGAAUCCCCAGAAUAUGAAGGACUAUCUGCAUUAGAAGCACUUGUUUUAGCGUCCCAGGAGUCUACAUUUCAAACAAGAGCCCCAGG